AACAAGGCGUACCUGCGGACCUGCGGAGGGAUCAUCAUUGAACCUCUAAAUAUCAUACCACACCAUACCCUUCUCCUUUGUGUGAACGGUUGCCGGGAGAGAGAAGAGCUCGCUCCUCUCUCGCUCGGCCGAGGGCCGGGGGAGCGCCUUGUGUGCUCACCCGCCUUCAUUUUUCCCGUCCUUUUCGGAAAAAGACUCCUUUUUCUCGAUAAAGACAACCUUUAUUGCUUCUGAUCUCUU
rnacentral:misc_RNA from 1 species